GGUUCUAUAGUGUAGUGAUUAGCAUGUCUGCUUUACUCACAGAAGGUCCUUGGUUCGCGCCCUAGGUGGAGCCA
rnacentral:tRNA from 1 species